rnacentral:rRNA from 1 species
CGCGUAGGUGGUUGUGUAAGUCGGAUGUGAAAUCCCGAGGCUCAACCUCGGAACUGCAUCCGAUACUGCAUGACUAGAGUGCAGCAGAGGGAAACGGAAUUCCUGGUGUAGAGGUGAAAUUCGUAGAUAUCAGGAGGAACACCGGUGGCGAAGGCGGUUUCCUGGGCUGACACUGACACUGAGGCGCGAAAGCGUGGGUAGCAAACAGGAUUAGAUACCCUGGUAGUCCACGCUGUAAACGGUGAGUGCUGGGUGUGGGAGGUGUAAUGCCUUCUGUGCCGAAGCUAACGCGUUAAGCACUCCGCCUGGGGAGUACGGCCGCAAGGUUGAA